rnacentral:rRNA from 1 species
CAAUAGCGUAUAUUAAAGUUGUUGCGGUUAAAAAGCUCGUAGUUGGAGUUCUGCCAGGUGCCGCCUGUCCGCCCCAGUGGUGAGUACGUGGCGCGCAUUUGGCCCUUUCAAGGGGAGCGUAUCUGCACUUUAUUGUGUGGUGCGGGAUCCUUGACUUUUACUUUGAGGAAAUAGGAGUGUUCCAAGCAGGCUCUCGUCGUGCACAGCUCAGCAUGGAAUAAUAGCAUUGGACCUCGAUUCUAAGCUGUUGGUUGCCAGAAGCGAGGUAAUGAUGAAGAGGGAUAGUUGGGGGCAUUCGUAUUUAACUGUCAGAGGUGAAAUUCUUGGAUUUGUUAAAGACGGACUACUGCGAAGGCAUCUGCCAUGGAUGGUUUCAUUGA